GGGUGAGCGAUGGUGUGUUCCGGUGUCGAAUUGGACACUUCCGGGAACCCGGAUCGGAACGAUUAUCCGACGAUAAUCGUUUCGAUGUGAGGCAGUAUGUUUGCUGCCAUGUCGCAAGAAUAUUUGUGUUUAGUGGCAGUGGGUGACUCGUAGCAUAGGUCGGUGCUUUCCGUGACAGUUUGUGGGUCCCGGCAGAGUCUCGGUGCGAUUUUCAGGACUUCCAGCGAGUUACGAUAAUCGGUUUUGGAAAACCGAUUUCCAUGGGUUUAUU
rnacentral:lncRNA from 1 species